AUUGAACGCUGGCGGCAGGCUUAACACAUGCAAGUCGAGCGGUAGCACAAGAGAGCUUGCUCUCUGGGUGACGAGCGGCGGACGGGUGAGUAAUGUCUGGGAAACUGCCUGAUGGAGGGGGAUAACUACUGGAAACGGUAGCUAAUACCGCAUAACGUCGCAAGACCAAAGAGGGGGACCUUCGGGCCUCUUGCCAUCAGAUGUGCCCAGAUGGGAUUAGCUAGUAGGUGGGGUAAUGGCUCACCUAGGCGACGAUCCCUAGCUGGUCUGAGAGGAUGACCAGCCACACUGGAACUGAGACGCGGUCCAGACUCCUACGGGAGGCAGCAGUGGGGAAUAUUGCACAAUGGGCGCAAGCCUGAUGCAGCCAUGCCGCGUGUGUGAAGAAGGCCUUCGGGUUGUAAAGCACUUUCAGCGAGGAGGAAGGUGGUGAACUUAAUACGUUCAUCAAUUGACGUUACUCGCAGAAGAAGCACCGGCUAACUCCGUG
rnacentral:rRNA from 1 species